UACAGAGGUCUCAAGCGUUGUUCGGAUUCAUUGGGCGUAAAGGGUGCGUAGGCGGCGCGGUAAGUCGGGUGUGAAAUCUCGGAGCUUAACUCCGAAACUGCAUUCGAUACUGCCGUGCUUGAGGACUGGAGAGGAGACUGGAGUUUACGGUGUAGCGGUGAAAUGCGUAGAUAUCGUAAGGAAGACCAGUGGCGAAGGCGGGUCUCUGGACAGUUCCUGACGCUGAGGAGCGAAAGCGUGGGGAGCGAACAGG
rnacentral:rRNA from 1 species